rnacentral:rRNA from 1 species
CGGCGUAAAGAGUGGUUAUGGAACCCCUACACUAAAGCCGAAAACCCCCUAGACUGUCAUACGCACCCGGGAGUUAGAACCCCACUACACGAAAGUAGCUUUAUUAAUGCCCACCAGAACCCACGACAGCUGAGACACAAACUGGGAUUAGAUACCCCACUAUGCCCAGCCGUAAACAUAGAUACUCUUACACAACCCGUAUCCGCCAGGGGACUACGAGCACUAGCUUAAAACCCAAAGGACUUGGCGGUGCCUCAGACCCCCCUAGAGGAGCCUGUUCUAGAACCGAUAACCCCCGUUCAACCUCACCACUUCUUGCCCUUUCCGCCUAUAUACCACCGUCGCCAGCUUACCCUCUGAAGGAAAAAAAGUAAGCAGAAUGGAAACUCUCCAAAACGUCAGGUCGAGGUGUAGCAUACGAAGUGGGAAGAAAUGGGCUACAUUGCCUGACACAGGCCACAUCACAGAAAGUCACCUGAAAUAGUAACUCGAAGGUGGAUUUAGCAGUAAGAGGGGAAUAGAGUGCCCCGUUGAAGCUGGCUCUGAGGCGCGCACACACCGCCCGUCACUCUCCCCAAAACUCCAACCACCAAAGUAAAUAACAUCACAAUAACACAAAAGGGGAGGUAAGUCGUAACAAGGUAAGUGUACCG